GUGCUCACUUUGGUAGCACAUCUUGUAAAUCUGAAGCAAUACGGAGAUUAGCAUGACCCUUGAACAAAGAUGACGUGAUAAUUUCUGAAGCAUUCCUUAUUUUA